rnacentral:rRNA from 1 species
AUACGUAGGGUGCGAGCGGUGUCCGGAAUUACUGGGCGUAAAGAGCUCGUAGGUGGUUUGUCGCGUCGUCUGUGAAAUUCCGGGGCUUAACUCCGGGCGUGCAGGCGAUACGGGCAUAACUUGAGUACUGUAGGGGAGACUGGAAUUCCUGGUGUAGCGGUGACAUGCGCAGAUAUCAGGAGGAACACCGGUGGCGAAGGCGGGUCUCUGGGCAGUAACUGACGCUGAGGAGCGAAAGCAUGGGUAGCGAACAGGAUUAGAUACCCUGGUAGUCCAUGCCGUAAACGGUGGGCGCUAGGUGUAGGGGUCUUCCACGACUUCUGUGCCGUAGCUAACGCAUUAAGCGCCCCGCCUGGGGAGUACGGCCGCAAGGCUAAAACUCAAAGGAAUUGACGGGG